ACGGCUCAGUAACACGUCGAUAAUCUGCCCUUAGGUCUAUGCGAACCUCGGGAAACUGAGGCUAAACUUGAUAGGGGUUAAGGACUGGAAUGUUCUAUCCCUGAACUAAGGAUGAGUCGGCGGCAGAUUAGGUAGAUGGAGAGGUAACGGCUCACCAUGCCUAAGAUCUGUACGGGCCAUGAGAGUGGUCGCCCGGAGAGGGAUACUGAGAUACUGAUCCCAGCCCUACGGGGUGCAGCAGGCGCGGAAACUUUACAAUGCACGCAAGUGUGAUAAGGGGAUCCAAAGUGCUUACGCUUUGCGUAGGCUUUUGCCAAGUCUAAACAGCUUGGAGAAUAAGUGGUGGGUAAGACUGGUGCCAGCAGCCGCGGUAACCCUAGCGCCACGAGUGGGAGUCGCUUUUAUUGGGCCUAAAGCGUUCGUAGCCUGUUUUGUAAGUCUUUUGUGAAAUUGUUAGGCUUAACCUAACAGCGUGCAAGAGAGACUGCAUUUCUAGAGACCGGGAGGAGUAUGGGGUAUUCCAUGGGGAACGGUAAAAUGUAAUAAUCCAUGGAGGACCACCAGUGGCGAAGGCGCCAUACUAGAACGGAUCUGACGGUGAGGGACGAAGGCUAGGGGAGCAAAACGGAUUAGAUACCCGAGUAGUCCUGGCAGUAAACUCUGUGUGCUAGGUGUUGCAUUUUCUUGUGAACGUGCAGUAUCGAAGUGAGGACAUUAAGCACACCGCCUGGGUAGUACGGUCGCAAGGCUGAAACUUAAAGGAAUUGGCGGGGGAGCAC
rnacentral:rRNA from 1 species